GCCUGCAAGUUUCCCUUGGACAAUCAAAAACCAUUUUAACUUCGUUGCACUUUGGACAGAUAUCCACGUCAAUUAUCCGACCAUUUUCGGUACUUGAUGAUGGAGAACUUCUAUAGUGAUGAUAUAGGAUAGGUGGUAGCUUUUGGUGUGGUGGAUUCAUUUGAAGAUAGGAGGAAAGUGUUUCGAUAUGUUCUUUCUUUAUGUUGUAGAUACCAUUUAUCCGCAAGCUCUUUAAGUUUGUUGGAUGUUGGGAUAGUGUCUUCACAGCUCCGAUGAUUCCCUCAGGGGUUAAGCCAGUGCAUGCUGGUAGGUGGAGCUGAAUCAAUAGAAAAGAAAAUAUUACGAAGGAUUUCGUUAAUGGUCGUAUAUGCAUCCAAAAGGAGUUCGUCAACUUUCAUGUUUUAUCUGUACCAAGCUACUUCCUUCUUGUAAUCUGCAUUAUAUUUAAAAGAAAUAGCUCUCUAUUGGAGGGAGAAAGAAAAAAAAGAGUAUAGUUUGAUUAAUCAUUUGUUUUCAAUGAGCAUGUCGUCAGAAGUAUUGUCCAUCCAGAAUUCUUGAACCAUCCACUAGGUUCAAUAAUGAAUAAGAGAAUUCCAUAUCCCAUUUUCAUUAAAGAAAGAACCCUUACUAACCAUAUCUUAUCCUGUUCCACCUCAACCUUAUUUAUUGAUUCUUAGAAAACUGUGCCAACCACCGAUUAACUACUCAUCCAACGAACUGGGCCAGCUAAAUUUAAGGUAAUAGAACGAGCGCAAAAAGAAAUAUCAAUUUAGAUUCCAUCAGCAUACCUUACUGAUAAAAGGAUUUUUCUCUACGACCCUUUGAAGCCCAUCAUCAGUUAUAUUUUGACAGCUCCUGAGAACCAAAGUCCUCAAUCUACAAUUCGCCUUUGAAGUGAUUUCCCACAGAAUCUCAUUAGACAACCGCGUGCUCAAAGGCCUGUCAAUCAUGAUAUCCAACCAUGGCAAUACAUCUUUGUUCACUGCAUCCCUAAACGACAAGCAAACUUUACUCAUGUUAAGAAGCUCAAAUACAGGAAGGCAAGCCAAGACGAAAAACAAAGCCUCGUGGGGUGGCCCUGGCUCGGCUUCUGGGUUUGGCUUUUCCUUUCUGGAACUGGGACAGGAAUCAAGAGAAGGCGAGAUUGAAAGGGUCUGCAUGGACUCGACAAAGGAUUCAUCCUCUUUGUAUUCUUCAAAAUGAGAAAUCUCCAUAUCCUCAAGCUACAAAAAUGGUAAUGGAAUCCCUAUAUGAUCAUGACUUGACAGAAUUUUCUGGGUGACGUGCAGAAAGAAAAAAAAUGAAGAUUCAGCAAAAGGGAAGUAACGAUAGAGAAGAUUGUAGGAGGUUACACGUAUGGUCCAACAUGAGCCACAUGGCACAUAGUAUUGCAAAUUGCAAGUGGGUUCGAGGAUAAGAGUCAAAGCCUUCACAUUUUCUUGCUUGCAAAGCAAAUGAAUACACGAAAAUCCUUUAUUGUCUUGGUCCAGGCUUAUGCGACUUCUAGAGCAGAGGAGCUCUAACAUUUUAACAUUAGCUAAAAGCCGUUAGUGUUCAUGAUCAAAAUUAGGAAUCAACUGGUUAAAGUUAUUGGACAUAUAAAUCUACAGCUGCAGCUGUGGCAAUGACGAUAUCCAGGCAGCAACAAUGAAGCUAUUCCUUCUUGCCAGGCAACGCUAAUUUACUAAUUCAUAAAAAAGUCCAAUACACUUGAACCCGUAACAAAUAUAUUACAUCAAAACUUCAUUUUCAGGUGCAUAAGCUAUGCGUAAUGGAUGGGACGUAAUGCUACAACUGAUCAGGGAGGAAAAAGCAUUGUUUAAUGCUAGUAAAAUAUGGAGAGUUAUAUGGCAGAAACGAUGAACAAAUUUUGAAUAUUACACUCUGCAAUUUGAAAUACAAAAAGAAGAUGAAAAAUUAUGAUAUCAAGAAAAACAUACAAGAGCGUGGCACUCAAAUUUGCAAAUCAUCAAUGGUCUAAAGGCUCAACAGCAGUCUUAAAGAGUAAGAUGUACACCUUGUCAAUUGAAAAAUACAAGAAGCCUCCUAUGGAAUGAGUAACAUAUGAACCAAAGCUAGUUCCCACUAUGCAAUGCCAAGCUGGACCAUAUGCAGAGUCAAACUCCAGUAAUUCGUUUUUCUAAGCAAGCUGAUAGUUGGUAAUCCUGGCAACUCCUGAUUCCACAGGCGACGGACUUUAAACCACCCCAUAUAUCUUUUAUUUAUUGUUGAAAACCUCCAUCGCUUCAAAUUUAUAACUGACUUUUAUUGUGUAUGACAAUCUGCAGUGUAAAACCUAAACUUCAUUAAAUAUAAAAUAAAUUACAUUUCACCCUCAAAUAGAAUUAAAUAUAUAAUUUCAACACAAAUUAAUGCAAGCAAAUAGGUGGAUAACCAUUAAUCAAGCUCGUAUAGUGCCAUUCACUCCAAACAAAAAUAUUUAGCAAUUUAGAGGAACUAUUUCUGGAACUUGCAAUCAUCCAAAAACAUAAGCUCGCAAUCAAUAUCAGUUAAUUUGACUCAACAAUUGUAAAACAUUAGUAUUUAGAGUCUAACUUUCCGAGUAAUCUUAGACAAGAAAAGGGGCAAAGAACACAUGUGAAAGCUAAUUCACUGUCCACACCCGUGAUCAAUUGGUCCAUUCCAAUUUCAAACUCAAAAUAAGCAAUUGAAAUUUACUGAAAAAGUUAAGAAGAAAUACAAUUAAUAAGACUAUAAAGUAUUUGAAAUCACCGUGUACUCACAAAAUUCAUAACCAAUAAUAUUCAACCCCAUGAUGGAAAAGGAAAAAAUUUGAUACUGACACAAUUGGACCACCUUUAGACAUUCAAAAGAAUGAAGAAAGCUCCACUGUAAGCAUUCAAAAUUUAUUAAUUAAUAUAGCAACCACAAAUCAUUCACCGCGAUAUGAAGAUAACUGCCCAGAAGCAUAGAAGGAGAUCAAGUUUUCCAAUAAACAAUCCCCACAAACCAAUUUUUAAAGCAUUUUCAUUUCAAGGCCUAUAUUUCAGCAGGAUCGCUUGCUAGCAAAAUUUACCAGACACCUUUUUUUUAGGCUCGCACAGACAGAUAAAGAUCAAAACAAGGAAAAUGAAGGAGACACACGGAGAGGAAAGGGAUAAAAGGAAAAAGAAUUAUCUUUUUUAAAAAGAGU
rnacentral:misc_RNA from 1 species